rnacentral:rRNA from 2 species
UAAGGAAUAUUGGUCAAUGGACGCAAGUCUGAACCAGCCAUGCCGCGUGGAGGAUGACGGUCCUCUGGAUUGUAAACUUCUUUUCUCUGGGACGAAACCCCCGAUUUCUAUCGGGCCUGACGGUACCAGAGGAAUAAGCACCGGCUAACUCCGUGCCAGCAGCCGCGGUAAUACGGAGGGUGCAAGCGUUAUCCGGAUUCACUGGGUUUAAAGGGUGCGUAGGUGGGCAGAUAAGUCAGUGGUGAAAUCUCUGGGCUUAACCCGGAAACUGCCAUUGAUACUAUUUGUCUUGAAUUCUCUGGAGGUAAGCGGAAUAUGUCAUGUAGCGGUGAAAUGCUUAGAUAUGACAUAGAACACCCAUUGCGAAGGCAGCUUACUACGGAGACAUUGACACUGAGGCACGAAAGCGUGGGGAUCAAACA